rnacentral:rRNA from 1 species
GAUCAUGGCUCAGAGCGAACGCUAGCGGAAUGCUUAUACAUGCAAGUCGAACGGAAAACCAUACGGAGUAGCAAUACAAAGUGGAAGUUUUAGUGGCGAACGGGUGAGUAAUAGAUAGGAACUUGCCGAGUAGUGGGGGGACAACAGAUAGAAAUGUCUGCUAAUACCGCAUACGCCCGAGAGGGGAAAGAUUUAUCGCUAUUUGAGAGGCCUAUUCACGAUUAGCUUGUUGGUGAGAUAAAAGCCCACCAAGGCGACGAUCGUUAGCCGGUCUUAGAGGACGAUCGGCCACAUUGGGACUGAGACACGGCCCAGACUCCUACGGGAGGCAGCAGUAGGGAAUAUUGGACAAUGGAGGCAACUCUGAUCCAGCAAAUUCCGCGUGAGUGAUGAAGGUGUUAUGCAUUGUAAAACUCUUUUGCCUGUGAAGAUAAUGACGGUAACAGGAGAAUAAGCACCGACUAACUAUGUGCCAGCCGCCGC